GGGGGUGUACUUGGCUUCGACGGGGUUAAAGAGAUCGUAAAUUGCGUACCGUGUUGCUGACACCACGAUAAAAAGUUAGAAAAACUCAAAUGGCGAAAACUACGCCUUAGCCGCUUAAUUUAGUUAAGUAGCCGUUCUCUGCCUCCUCUCAUACCGGGCGGCAGUUGAGCGACGCACCAGGUAUGAUAGCUGUGCAGAUUGUCCGGGUUUGUACCGCAAAAUAACACCGGAAUAGCUGAUCAUGAUCCUGUCCGCCGGAGCCUGUAUCAGUAAAACUCAAAUGACGGUACUACGUGCGUAGACGUUUACGAAGCGUUAACUUCGGACCCGGGUUCGACUCCCGGCACCUCCACCA
rnacentral:tmRNA from 1 species